rnacentral:lncRNA from 1 species
AUUUGAUCACAUUAGUAACAGGUCUUUCUGAAACAACAUGUGUUGUGGUUGUAAGGGCCUUAUGAUUAGUUAUAGUUAGCUCUACCUGUUUUCUGCAAGCCACAGAGAUUGUCUGCCCUCCUUUUCUUCUGCUACCAGGAGUUCCUCUUAAACUAAGCUUGUGCAUGGGUAAGGUAUUCUGCAUAUGCUUCCACACUACCCUUUAUGAAAGGCACAUUGACUCUCUUUUUGUGUUUUAUUUAUUCUAAUUUGUUAUGUACGACAGCAGAAUGCAAUUCAAUUCAUAAUACACAUAUAUAGCACAAUUUUUCAUGUCUCUGGUUGUACACAAAGUAGAGUCACACCAUUCGUGUCUUCAUACAUGUACUUAGGGUAAUGAUGUCCAUCUCAUUCCACCAUCUUUUCUAACCCCAACCCCCUGUCUUCCUCUCCCUCCCUUUUGCCCUAUCUAAAGUUCCUCCAUUCUUCCCAUGCUCCACCCCCCAUUUCCAUUAUGAAUCAGCAUCCUUACAUCGGAGAAAACAUUUGGCAUUUGGUUUUGGGAUUGGCUUACUUCACUUAGCAUUAUAUUCUCCAAUUCCAUUCAUUUACCUGCAAAUGCCAUGAUUUUAUUCUCUUAAUGCUGAGUAAUAUUCUAUUGUGUAUAUAUACCACAUUUUCUUUAUCUGUUCAUCCACAAUGCCAAUUUUCAUGAGUGUACCUACAAGUAAUAGUAAUAAAAUAUGAGGGUUGUCAGUGGUGAUUAGAAACUGACAUUUUUUUUCUAUGAGUGACAUCUUG